rnacentral:rRNA from 1 species
CAGCCGCCGCGGGAAUACGAAGGGGGCUAGCGUUGUUCGGAUUAACUGGGCGUAAAGGGCGCGUAGGCGGGUUUUUAAGUCAGAGGUGAAAUCCCAAGGCUCAACCUUGGAACUGCCUUUGAUACUGGAAGUCUUGAGUCCGGGAGAGGUGAGUGGAACUGCGAGUGUAGAGGUGAAAUUCGUAGAUAUUCGCAAGAACACCAGUGGCGAAGGCGGCUCACUGGCCCGGUACUGACGCUGAGGCGCGAAAGCGUGGGGAGCAAACAGGAUUAGAUACCCCCGUAGUCCCUGUCUCUUAUAC